AGUGUCUUAAGGGCAUUCGGUGGAUGCCUUGGCGACAAGAGGCGAUGAAAGACGUGAUACGCUGCGAUAAGCCAUGGGGAGCUGCGAAUAAGCUUUGAUCCGUGGAUUUCUGAAUGGGGCAACCCACUCCGUAUGGAGUACCCUUUAAUGGGAGCAAACCCGGGGAACUGAAACAUCUAAGUACCCGGAGGAAAGGA
rnacentral:rRNA from 1 species